rnacentral:rRNA from 1 species
CGGAUUACUGGGCGUAAGCGCACGCAGGCGGUCUGUUAAGUCAGAUGUGAAAUCCCCGGGCUUAACCUGGGAACUGCAUUUGAAACUGGCAGGCUUGAGUCUCGUAGAGGGGGGUAGAAUUCCAGGUGUAGCGGUGAAAUGCGUAGAGAUCUGGAGGAAUACCGGUGGCGAAGGCGGCCCCCUGGACUAAGACUGACGCUCAGGUGCGAAAGCGUGGGGAGCAAACAGGAUUAGAUACCCUGGUAGUCCACGCCGUAAACGAUGUCUACUUGGAGGUUGUGCCCUUGAGGCGUGGCUUCCGGAGCUAACGCGUUAAGUCCACCGCCUGGGGAGUACGGCCGCAAGGUUAAAACUCAAAUGAAUUGACGGGGGCCCGCACAAGCGGUGGAGCAUGUGGUUUAAUUCGAUGCAACCCGAAGAACCUUACCUGGCCUUGACAUCCAGAGGACUUAGCAGAGAUGCUUUGGUGCCUUCGGGAACUCUGAGACAGGUGCUGCAUGGCUGUCGUCAGCUCGUGUUGUGAAAUGUUGGGUUAAGUCCCGCAACGAGCGCAACCCUUAUCCUUUGUUGCCAGCGGUUCGGCCGGGAACUCAAAGGAGACUGCCGGUGAUAAACCGGAGGAAGG